UGGGGAAUUUUGGACAAUGGGCGAAAGCCUGAUCCAGCAAUGCCGCGUGUGUGAAGAAGGCCUUCGGGUUGUAAAGCACUUUUGUCCGGAAAGAAAUCCUUGGCUCUAAUACAGUCGGGGGAUGACGGUACCGGAAGAAUAAGCACCGGCUAACUACGUGCCAGCAGCCGCGGUAAUACGUAGGGUGCAAGCGUUAAUCGGAAUUACUGGGCGUAAGCGUGCGCAGGCGGUUUGCUAAGACCGAUGUGAAAUCCCCGGGCUCAACCUGGGAACUGCAUUGGUGGCUGGCAGGCUAGAGUAUGGCAGAGGGGGGUAGAAUUCCACGUGUAGCAGUGAAAUGCGUAGAGAUGUGGAGGAAUACCGAUGGCGAAGGCAGCCCCCUGGGCCAAUACUGACGCUCAUGCACGAAAGCGUGGGGAGCAAACAGGAUUAGAUACCCUGGUAGUCCACGCCCUAAACGAUGUCAACUAGUUGUUGGGGAUUCAUUUCCUUAGUAACGUAGCUAACGCGUGAAGUUGACCGCCUGGGGAGUACGGUCGCAAGAUUAAAACUCAAAGAAUUGACGGGGUCAUAGCUGUUUCCUG
rnacentral:rRNA from 1 species